CUUUCUACCUCUCUGUUGGCUGC
rnacentral:piRNA from 1 species